rnacentral:sRNA from 1 species
AACACCCCAGCCUGCAACACCAGCACCCUGCAACAUCUCAGCCCUCAAUACCUGCACCCAGCAAUGCUCUCACCCUGCAACAUCGACACCAGCUCAACCUGGCAGGGGACCAGAGGUACUGGCUGGGGGUGUUGAUUGCUUCUCUUUUCUCCCUUGCCAGACUCAGUAGAGGAAGCUGAGACCGAGCAGCCGCAGGAAAAAGGUGUUUUUGUGACUUGCAGAAAUACCUCCACCUUGCCUGAGCCCGGAGCCACAGGAGACCUUGCAGAAGGUGAAGAAUGUUCUGGAACAAUGCAAGACCUGCCCAGGCUGCCCCCAGGAGCCAGCGUCCUGGGGUCUCUGUGCGGCAUCCAGUGACGUGAGCUUGCAGGACCCCGAGGAGCCCUCCUUCUGCUUGGAAGCUGAGGACGACUGGGAGGACCCAGAGGCCCUGAGCUCACUGCUGCUGUUCCUGAACGCCUCCGGGUACAAGGCCAGCUUCCAUGGCCUGUACGAUGUGGCGCUGCCAUGGCUGA